rnacentral:rRNA from 1 species
AGAGUUGAUUAUGGCUCAGGAUGAACGCUGGCGGCGUGCCUAACACAUGCAAGUCGAGCGGAGAUAAGUUGAAGCCUAGCGAUUCUUAUCUUAGCGGCGGAUGGGUGAGUAACACGUGGGUAACCUGCCCUGCACUGGGGAAUAACAGCUGGAAACGGCUGUUAAUGCCGCAUAUGCGCACGGAGCCGCAUGGCUUUGGGCGGAAAGAUUUAUCGGUGCAGGAUGGGCCCGCGCCGGAUUAACUAGUUGGCGGGGUAACGGCCCCACCAAGGUGAUGAUCCGUAGCCGACCUGAGAGGGUGACCGGCCACAUUGGGACUGAGACACGGCCCAAACUCCUACGGGAGGCAGCAGUGGGGGAUAUUGCACAAUGGGGGAAACCCUGAUGCAGCGACGCCGCGUGAAGGAUGAAGUAUUUCGGUAUGUAAACUUCUAUCAGCGGGGAAGAAGAUGACGGUACCCGACUAAGUAGCCCCGGCUAACUACGUGCCAGCCGCGGC